GAAUGUCGACAUGUAUCCGUUGAAGAGAAGUGAGUGGAGGAGUCACGGGUGUGUCUAAGAGAAGAGAGAGGGAGCUGACCGUUGGGUGCUGUCACUAUCCCUCUUGCUGAACGAGCCAUCCGCGGAUCUGCCUCCUCUUUGUUUAUUCUUUCCCUUGUACUAUCUUCUCAUUGUUUAUGCAUUCUUGUAUGUCUUUAAAUACCUUGUCAUGUGUAACAAAUCAAGUAAGGAAACUUAUUCUCCUUCUAUUCUCUUUGUCACACUCUCACGGAAACUCUCUCCAUCUCUUACUCUUCUCUCUUAAUCUCUCCUUAAUCUUCUAAAACUC
rnacentral:lncRNA from 1 species